UACAGCGGGUGCGAGCGUUAAUCGGAGUAACUGGGCGUAAAGGGCACGUAGGCGGUUAUAUUAGUCUGAUGUGAAAGACCUGGGCUUAACCUGGGAUGUGCAUUGGAAACGGUAUGGCUAGAGAAUGGGAGAGGGAAGUGGAAUUUCCGGUGUAGCGGUGAAAUGCGUAGAGAUCGGAAAGAACACUCGUGGCGAAGGCGGCUUUCUGGCCCAAAACUGACGCUGAGGUGCGAAAGCUAGGGGAGCGAAAGGG
rnacentral:rRNA from 1 species